rnacentral:lncRNA from 1 species
GGUGGGAGUGGAUUCCCACUCUCACCUCCCCCAAUGGGAGUCCCACUCCCACUCCCCACUCCAAAAAUGAGUGGGGCCCACGGAGUGGGAUUCUCAAUCCGUGGCCAUUUUAAGCAAGUAAACGCUGGAGUGGGAGGAAUCCAUACUCCUCACUCCCACUCCAGCAAGUAAACACAACCUAAGUGUAACCUAGGACAUCAUUGGUCUUGCUAGGUCUGAAUAACUUUUUUUUUUUUUGAGGAAUAAUUGGGCCUUGCAAUUUUAUUGGAAAAAAAGAAAUAGAAAAGCAGAGAAAAAAAUAGGCUUAGUUGUUGGGGUUGAAUAAAAUAAUUAAUAUAUAAAUAAAAAUUGAACAUUUAAUUUUACACAAAAUUUUUACUAAUAAUUUUAACAGAGCAUACGAUGCAAUUGUAGUUAUAUCGAAAUAAAAUAAAAUAAGAAAAUUGACAUUUAAUUACGUCAAUUCUUCUGAAGAUUGUGAGUCCACGGUCUCUACCCUCGGCGGGCCAUUGGGCUAUUAUUGCUAAAGUGAACUUGGUUGCUUUUGGUCUAAUUAAAGUGGAAUUUAACUAGCGACAUUCCAUCAAUUAAUUCACUCUGGGAAAUUGAAUUGGAUAUAUUUGAAUAAUGUGUGAAUGUGCAAUAAUGGUUAAUAGGGCUGCGUGUAUUCAGGACAGAAAUAUAGAAAAACCCAAAAGAGGCCCGAAACAACUUGGGCUUACAUCAAGCCCGCCCACUAAUCACUUACGCGGACCUGAUUUGAAAAUUUCUCGAACUCUUUUCGACGCGUACCUUGUUUUUUUCUUAUUAUUUUUGGAAGGAAUACGAAAAUUUUUGCAAAUCAAUCUUUUAAAAGAUAAAAGGGGAGGGAAGUUGCAAAUCAAUCUUUUAACUCUUCAUAUAAUUUAUUAAGUAAGAAUUUAAAUUAUAAUACGACGUUUCAAUAAUCUUGUAUACAUCUUUGUUUUGAACAGAAAUUAGGAUCAUUUUAGAUCUCCUAUUGAUUAGAUCUGAUUUGAAACUAUGACUAAAUUUCAAUAACUUAUUUUUUUAAUUAAAUACAAAUCACAAUACUGUAUCUUACUUUAAAUUAUAAUAUUGCUCAUACUUUAGGAAAAUUCUUAAUGGAGCGGGGUAGCAUAAGUAGAAUUGAUGGGCUAGGAACUAGAUAUCAUUCUAGUAUUAAACCAAACUAAUGCGAUUAGUUUACGUUCCAAUCGAAGUAUGAUUAGAUCUCGUUCAAAUCCAAACGAAUUAAUAAGAUGUUUCUAAUAAUGCGUUAAGUGAGAUUAGAUGACGCUCUAAUUCAAACAACUCUAAAAAUGAGAUUUUGAUAAAUAAUUCCAAUGAGAAUUAAAGAGGAGUUUUUGAAUAAUUGAAGCUGAAGUUAUGAAAAAAAUAACAAAACCUCUCCAUUUAUAAUAGAGUAAACAUAUUUCCCUAAGUUAACUUUGAAAGGAAAAGUAAAUCACAAUUAAAAUUGAAAUAAAGACUAAAAUAUAAACCACAAUAGACUCUAAUUAAAAUAGAAAAUCUUAAAAUAAUAUAAAUUCUAGAAUUUAAAGUAACGUCCUAUAUUAAUUCUAGAAUAUAUUAGAAUUAUCACAUCAACUCUAUAACAAACAAAUAAUGUUAUUUCAUGUGUUCAUUUAUUUUUAAAAAAUCAACAUGCAAGUGGUAAGUAUAUUAAAUUCAAUUAUGAAAUUCUAAGUGUGCAACCCAAGAGGGGGGGUGGGGGGUGAAUUGAGUUUCUAAAACUUAAAGCAAAUAUACCACACAAUAAUAUAAACUAAUGCCUUAAUGAAACCAAUAACAAUAAAUUUAACAAUGCACAAAAUUAAAAGGAUAAGGGAAGAGAAAUCAAACACAAAAUUUGUUACGUGGUUCGGCCAACCAUGCCUACGUCCACACCUCCAAGCUCACCGAACUUGAGAAUUUCACUAUCCCAGCCUCCAAGGUUCAAAAACUUUUACAAUUGACAUCACAUGUGUCACAAUCAACCUUUACAACAAGAUAUUAUCCCCAAGAUAUUAUCCCAAAUCUCUUAACUCAUGUAUUUCCCACACGCACACUUUCUCAAAUAUAAGAUUUUCCUCGCACACAAUCUAUGUGUUUAUAGAUAUAUGCCUAAGAUCUGAUUUAAAGAAUGAACGAACAAAUUAAAGCUCAAGAAAUAUUGUAUUCUCAAUAAUAUGCUCUUUGAUAUUUGUUAGAUUCACUUUGAUUUGGAUCUAAUGCAGCCUUUUUAUAGUUGGAGCUGAAAGCUAGCCGUUAUUGACUUUCUGCACAAAGUCGGAUCGUCGUUAAGCCUUAUCGAAUCGUUGUUUUGACUUGAGCAAGUUACCGUUGUGCUAUAAUUUCAAAUUGUCGGAUCACCAUGUUCUAGAUUUCGGAUCGCCGUUAGUUUCCAGAAAGUAAAUUCCAAUUAUGUUCGAUGUCGAUUAGUCGUUAUCUCCCAAACAGUUAGCCGUUUGCUACAAUGACAUUAUUUUCUAAAAUUAUUAUUUUGUCCUAAAACUUUCUAUAAUUAUAUUAUGUCCCAAAUCUUCAUAAAACUUUACAAAUAAGUCAAUUUCUAGAGUUUCGAAAUAAUACUUGUUGAUUUCAAAGUUCUCAAAACUUUUUCAAUUUAAACCAUUAACUUGAAAAUAACCAAUUUCAUAAAAUCAUUUUUCCAUUAAGUAUAAAACCUUUAUAUUAUGAAAAUAAUGAUUCAUUUAAAAUGUAUGAAAAAUAAUUUGAGUUUUUAAAAACUUAAUCAUUCUUAAAUUUGUUUGCUUUCAUCAAAAUCAACAUUAUAGAUACAUAAAUAUUAACAAACUAUACAUGUCACGUAUAGAAUAAUUGAUUGUAUUAACUUUUAUGUACCAUAGACUUUCUCUUGUUAUUGUUAGAUGGGAAAAUAUCCACCGUCCACCUAUUUUUUACACCUUUUUUCAAAAAUACACAAUUCCUUCAUUUUUUAGCUGGAAUCCACCUAAAGUUACAUUUUUUUUCACUUUUCCACUUCCGUUUGGAAUCCGUUAAGAAAACUAACGGAAACUUAAUAAAAUGACCAUUUUACCCCCAAAACGAAAAUUACAAUUUCACCUUAAAAAAUACCAAAAAUAAUAAGAUUUAAUGAUGAAUAUCAUUAUUGGUACUUUAAUGAAGUACAAAAAAAUCUUAACUACUAGAGAUUAUAACUCAAUUAAUAAUAAAACUCUACUUAUCUUAAAUUCAAUUGAUGAUUUGUGAGAUUGGGCUAUUAUACCAAAAAUAAUAAGAUUUAAUGAUGAAUAUCAUUAUUGGUACUUUAAUGAAGUACAAAAAAAUCUUAACUACUAGAGAUUAUAACUCAAUUAAUAAUAAAACUCUACUUAUCUUAAAUUCAAUUGAUGAUUUGUGAGAUUGAGCUAUUUUUAAUACUACUGUUAUAAUUUAGCAUUCUAAUUACAGAUAUAUUUAAAAAAAAAACAUGCAUUUGAUGGUUAUGGAAUUAAUUUAUUUAUUGACCGAUGGGGAAAAUAAUUAGAUUAAUCUAAUUAUUUUUUGUAAUUUUUAAGGUGAAAUUGUAAUUUUCGUUUUGGGGGUAAAAUGGUCAUUUUUUAAAGUUUCCGUUAGUUUUCUUAACGGAUUCCAAACGGAAGUGGAAAAGUGAAAAAAAAUGUAACUGUUGGUGGAUUCCAGCCAAAAAAUGAAGGAAUUGUGUAUUUUUGAAAAAGGUGUAAAAAAUAGGUGGACGGUGGAUAUUUUCCCUUGUUAGAUCAACAUGAAGUGCUAUAUAACUUUGAAAACUCAAUAAUUUAGUUUUGCUUGACAUUUGACAAUUAUAUAAAGAGUGCGGGAACUUGUCAUGACUAGCAAUAAUAUUAAGGAAAAAGAUAAAGAAACAUAAUGAAGACAAAAGGAAGAAAUAAGAAAUUUUUGUUCAGCCCUUACAAAAUAACAAUUUAGAAUUAGAAUCAAUUUUUAGAAGUUAAUUGGACAGACCCCCGAUGAAUUAGUAUCAGAGCAUGCUUUAUAUAGUUAAUUCUAAUUAGAAGGUCCAAUAGUUUAUAAAGAGAAUGAUUUAGAACUUAGCACCUACCAUAGUAAAAAGACAACUUUAAAUAGAUAUUAUAUAGAUUGUAAUAUUGAAGGCAAUUUAAACAUGACCUAUAUAC